rnacentral:rRNA from 1 species
AUGAAAGAAGCCGCCGGCCAAUCCCAUGCCCCUGUCCCUUGUCCCUCCCGUCAGGACGAAGCGGCUAAGGACCACCUGUUCCUGUUGCGAGAGCGAAGGAGGAGGAGGAGGAGGAGAAGGAGGAGACGAUGGAAGAAAACUAUCAUCUCGGCGGGGAAGAAAACGGCCUCAUCAUCUUCUGAGACCUUGGGGGCGAAGCGCGCACGCACACCGCGGAUUAUCACUCCCGUCCGAUCCGAUUUGCUCUCUCCUCCCAGGAGGGGCUGGUCUGAUCUAGACGACAGGCCGGCCGGGCUGAUCGCCGAGCGCGUCCUCGCAUAUGACGCCGCCGACUAUCUCCGCUUCCGUGCCGUGUGCCGUGCAUGGCGGCAGUGCUGCACAGAACCGCGCUCCCAUGGCGGGAUCGACCACCGGUUCCAUCCUUGGCGUUCAUCCAACUGGACCUCCCGGAGCUCCUUGACCAUGAGCUGCUGGGUCCUGGGUGUCACCCCUGAGGGCCUCCUCCUCCUGCUUUACGACCACAACCACGUCCGCCUGCUCAACCCGCUCACGCGUAACCUCACAGAGCUACCGCCGCUCACCACGCUUCUUCCCUCUAAGGACCAUUCCAUGCUUUCCUUUUUCAACACAGGCAACUUCAUAGCGACGGGUUCCGGUAUUGCUAGUGAUGGCUCAACAAUGGUGCUCUGCUUUGAUAUGCUCCACAUGCUUGGCAUGGCCAAGCUCGGCGACGACCACUGGAUCUUGCUGGAAUCCAGAAUUGGUGGGCUUACAGGACCUUAA